rnacentral:rRNA from 1 species
GACGAACCGUGCGAACGUUGUUCGGAUUCACUGGGCUUAAAGGGCGCGUAGGCGGACGGUCAAGUCGGGGGUGAAAUCUUUCAGCUUAACUGGAAAAGUGCCUCCGAUACUGAUCGUCUCGAGGGAGGUAGGGGCAUGUGGAACUUCCGGUGGAGCGGUGAAAUGCGUAGAUAUCGGAAGGAACGCCGGUGGCGAAAGCGGGUCUCUGGGCCGGUACCGACGCUGAGGAGCGAAGGCGUGGGGAGCGAACAGG